AAACAAGGAGGUGGUUUUAAUGUUAUGGCUGAUGGGUGUAUAUGCAUUUAUAUUACAGCAAGAAGGUCCUGGGUUCGAUCUCCCGGCCGGACGACCAGGUUUCUUUCUGUGUGGAGUUUCCAUGUUCUAUUUCUGUCCGUGUGGGUUUCCUCCAGGAGCUCCGGUUUCCUCCCACAGUCCAAAGACGUGCAGUCAGGUUAAAUGGAGAUACUAAGUGUGUGUGUGCGCGCCCUGUGAUGGACUUCUGAUUAUUUUACUACUGUACACUGCUGCUGUUUCUAAUCGAUGAGCUAUAAAGACGCAUUAAUAUGAUUCUGAGUUCAGGUUUAGAUCCUAAAAGGACUCUUGGCUGCACGUCAGUUAACGACGGUCGGUCAUCAGGUAAAACAAACGGGCAGAAUUCACUUCCAAGGAUCAUCCGUCAGUUCCUCCGAGAACGUAAAGCACGGCCCCCUCUGUUACUAGUUAAUCUUUGACUUGUUAGAGUAAAUAGAUCGUUUGACGUCUUUAUAACUGUAGGACUCGUGAGUGCGUGUGUUCGGCUCUGACGUUUCCGCUCGGCCGGAUGGAAUCACUCCUGCGGUACUUUCAUCUGUCAGCGGCUUAAACAGCUCUAUUGGUGAAUUGUGUUCGGCCUCGCUGGUGUGUCGAUUCGGAUGAAAUUGAUGGCGCGGUCCUGCAGUCUGGCAGCAAAACAGGCCGCGUAUCAUCGAGGGUUUUAUCCUGGUACAUCCGCAGCUCAUUUCUACACAGCACUGGCUCAAUGUAAUACACUUGUAACCUAGUGGUUAAGGAACUGGACUAGUAAUCAAAAGGUUCAAGGUCCAUCACUGCCAGGUUGCCACUGUUGUGCCUGUUGUGCAAGACGCUUAACCCUCAAUUGCUUAGACUGUAUACUGUCACAGUAUAAAACUUAUGGUCUACAACGCCGUCGUCGCACCCACUCUUCUGUAUGGAUGUGAAACCUGGACCCUCUACCGAGCAGAUCGGAAGAAGCUGGAGCAGUUCCCAUCCUCAGCAUCAACUGGGAUGAUUAUGUGACCAAUAAUUCUGCGCUGGAAAGAGCUUCUUCUGUCAGCAUUGAAGCAUCCGUCAUGAAACAUCAACUCCACUGAGAUCGACUCCCAACGACGGAUCCUGUUUGGUGAACUCGCAUCGGGGAAGCGACCCCUCGGUGCCCCACUGAAACGCUACAGAGAUCAAUUAAAGCGGACCCUAAAAUCCACAGGCAUCCACCCCAAGACCUGGGAAGCAUCGACUCAAGAAAGACUUCUGUGGAGAAGAGCGGUCAAACAAGGAAUUACAUAUUAAAUACGUAUAAAAACAGCUAAGUACAAGAUAACGUAAUAAAUGCUCAACAUAUUCACUCAGUAAUUAAAUUUAUUAUGCACAACCUUGACUGUACCAGUUGAACUGCUAAGAAAGCACAAAACUGAAAAAUAACUGGUCGCAGAUGGUUAUUUAAAAAUGAUUGGCUUCCCUAGAUGUAUGAAAAACGCUCUAAAAUCACUAAACGCAUGUAUAAACUAGGGCUGCAACGAUUAGUCGACGUAGUCGAUAACGUCGACUGUAAAAAUUUGUCGAUGUGGAAUUUCAUUGUCGACUAGUCGUUAUUGAUGCAAUGCACUAAAGGGACUGCAGGGGGCGCAGCAUCGCUUGGCGCAGCGGGGAGUUUAUGAAGACAGAGAGGCAAAGAUAAAGAGACCGAAACUUUCUAAAGUAUUUCAGCCAAAAUAACCCAAAGAAACGAGCUGGACGCCGACGCUACAGAGCAGAGUCGUGGUUUUACGCCAGCACUACGGUGAAACGCGAGCACCCUGCAGCCGUGGUGACCUGCGUUAUUCAGCACUAAGCAGUGGAGUGUGGAUGAGAAGAAGUUCAUGCACCCCUCAGAUGGCUGAGAUCCUCACAGACAGCAUUCACAUGUUUCUCAACCACAUGUUAUAAAUGUUGUUGACUUCCAGAGUGAUAACUUCUGAAACAUAACAGUUUCUAAUGCCGUCCAAAGCUUUCUUAUUUAAUAGAAUUUUUUUAUUGUAAUUGUGUAUUAAUGUUUCAAAUAUAUUUAAUUAAACUAUCAAGCUUAAGUUUCAUA